CAGGGUCAAUCACAGGAUGUCUGAUUCCUCAGAACUUACUUUUUCUAUCAAUCUAUUUCUCUUUUCUAGGUUUGGGACAAGACACUAUAUCAGAUUAUUUGAAAAGUCAAUACAAGGAAGCACUGAAAGAAGUGAGAGGGCCCAAAGGCAACAAUACCCAGUAGCAACAAGCAAACCCAGGGUGGGAAGGAGGUGGUAUCUAACUCCAGUUUUUGUUGGCCCCCAUUCUGGAGGAGGAACUGAAAGCUCGGAUUCAUGGAGCUCAAUUUCUGACCGCACCGCAUCUGACGACGUCCUCACUCAUUGACAUUUCAGGUGAGCGACCCCUAAAUACUCUUUCAUGUUGAAGUCACUUUGACUUGGAGGUUCUGUUUCAUUCAAAAAUGUGCUAUCCGACACAAAUAAUUGCUUUUAUUAGGGAUAUAAACCUAAAUAUUUAAGUAGAUUAAAAAAAAAAACCUUCACAAGAAACUAAAAGAAACAAACAAAGCCCCCACGGAAUUAUCCAGAGAACAUUCCAAUGUCCAGAGAACAUUUGCAGACAAAUUUGAAUCUCUGACUUAAGUGAAAAAAAAAAAAGUAAAAUACACCUAGACCGUGGUAGAUUCGUUUGUUUUACACGUGAAGGUAAUCAAGACUGUG
rnacentral:lncRNA from 1 species